GGACUGUACCAGCUCACUUUCACCCCUGCAUAUACCAGGAAUUUAGUUUUGCUUAACUUCUAUGUUCAUUUCCUACUAAACUGCAUUUCAGAAUGUAUCCUCCAGUGUAGCUGAAGUAAAGGUUUCCACAGAGUAGGGUAUACUGUACAUGUACAUUUCUCAUGACAAAUGCUUACAUUUCCCACACUUUCUGUCACGGCGUCAUCGGACGAGGAGGAAAAGCUAAUUUGCCUUGUAGCUUCGGAAAAACAAAGGAAGGUGUUAGAUAAGGCCAUUAAACCAGACUAGGGACAAAAAAGGGGAAAACAAUACGAUGGUGAAGGACAUGAAGACGAUGGAGAGUGAGAAACACUGUAAAUACUUCUAAAUAGAUAGUAGCAACUUUGAUAAGCUAGUUGGGUGCCAAGCCCCAUUUCUUCUCCACCUAGGCACCCACCAUACACCUGUCAGUGCAAAGCAGAGAGUGGACGUCCUCGCGACUGGGUGCUCGAAGCAGUGUGUUGCUGCAAGCUAUCACCUGGGCAUAUCAACUGUGUCACAAAUAAUGUUGGAGUUCAAAUUGCUUCUCUGAAGUAAUUCCUGAUGUCUUUCCAUCUUUGGACUAUCCUAACACACAUUUCCAGAUGUUCUGCAUUUGACCAGGGUCAGUGUCACUACUGGUGGCAUGAGGAGACACCUGGACCCUACAGAGGUUGCACAGGCAGUCCAAGACCACCAGGAUGGCACAUAAAUACGUGCCAUUGCCCGAAGGUUUGCUGCAUCUCCCAGCACAGUCUCAAGAGCAUGAAGGAGAUUCCAGGAGACAAGCAGUCACUCUAGGAGAGCCGGAAAGAACCAUUGGAGAUCCUUAACCCAUCAGCAGGACCUGUAUCUACUCCUUUGUGUGAGGAGGAACAAGAUGAGUACUGCCAGAGCCCUACAAAGUGACCCGCAGCAGGUCACUGGUGUGAUUGUCUCUGACCAAACCAUUAGAAACAGAAUUCAUGAAGGUGGCCUGAGGGGCGGAUGUCCUCUAGUAGGCCCUGUGCUCACUGCCCAGCACCAUGAAGCAUAACUGGAAUUUGCCAAAGAACGCAGCAAGUUUGGUACUGGUGCCCUUUUCUUUUCAUAGAUGAGAGCAGGUUCAAUCUGAGCUCAUUUGACAGACAUGAAAAUGUCUGGAGAAGCUGCUGUGAAGGUUAAGCUGCCUGCAACAUUGUUGAGCAUUAUCGAUUUGGUGGUGGGUCAGUGUCUGGGAAGACACGUCCAUGGAGGGAACCACAAACCUGUACAGGAUUAAUGACGGCACCAUAACUGCCAUUAGGUAUCUGAAUGAAAUCCUUAGACCCAUUUUUAGACCUUCUGCUGGUGCAGUGGGUUCUGGGGUCCUCCUGGUGCAUGAUAAUAACUGGUCUCAUGUGACAAGAGUAUGCAGGCAGUUAUUGGAGAAUGAAGCCAUUGAUACCACUGACUGGCCUCAAUGCUCCCCUGACCUAAAUCAAAUAGAACAUCUCUGGAGCAUCAUGGCUAGGUCCAUCUGACAGCACCACGUUUCACCUCAGACAUUUUUCAGGAGCUCAGUGAUGCCCUAGUUAGGAUCUGGGAGGAGAUACCCCUGGAUACCAUCUGUCAUCUCAUGAGGAGCAUGUCCAGUGUUGUCAGGCAUGCAUACAAGCACAUGGCCAUAGAAACUACUGAGUACCAUUCGCAGUUGCUGCAAUGACAGUUCAGCAAAUUGGACCAUCCUGCUGCAUCAGUUUUUCAGUUAAAUUUCUCUGUGACUUUGGAUUAAGCCCUCCGUGGGUUGAUAAUCUUCAGUUUCAUCACUGAUGUGGCAUCCCUUUGUUUCCAACACAUUACCCAUUCCAAAUCAGUACAGAUACCAAACAUGAUUUUUUUUUUUUUUCAAAUGAGGUCUUUUGUGUUUUCAAAGUGUUCCUUUGAUUAAUUUGAGCAGUAUAUAUUUAUAUGGAUAAAUUGGAUAAAUGCUUUUUUAGUAAGUGCCUUUAGACGACAUUGGUUGUGAAUUGUCGCUAUAUAAAUAAACAGGACUGACAGCAGCUCAGGAGAUUUACUUUUAGAAGGUACAGAAUUACUUUUAUUAUUGUUUU